rnacentral:pre_miRNA from 13 species
GUCCUCAGAGCCUCCUCUGUCUGCUGGGCUGGGGGCAGGGCCUUUGUGAAGGCGGGUGUGCAAAGAUCGCCUCUGGGCCCUUCCUCCAGCCCCGAGGCGGAUUCACCUUCAGCUUCAGU